rnacentral:rRNA from 1 species
GCAGUAGCCACGGGAAUACGAAGGGUGCAAGCGUUACUCGGAAUUACUGGGCGUAAAGCGUGCGUAGGUGGUGGUUUAAGUCCGUUGUGAAAGCCCUGGGCUCAACCUGGGAAUUGCAGUGGAUACUGGGUCACUAGAGUGUGGUAGAGGAUAGUGGAAUUUCCGGUGUAGCAGUGAAAUGCGUAGAGAUCGGAAGGAACAUCUGUGGCGAAGGCGACUAUCUGGGCCAACACUGACACUGAGGCACGAAAGCGUGGGGAGCAAACAGGAUUAGAUACCCGCGUAGUCCCUGUCUCUUAUAC